rnacentral:rRNA from 1 species
GACGAACGCUGGCGGCGUGCUUAACACAUGCAAGUCGAACGGAAAGGCCCUGCCUUUGUGGGGUGCUCGAGUGGCGAACGGGGGAGUAACACGUGAGUAACCUGCCCUUGACUGUGGGGUAUCUUCAGGAAACUGGGGCUAAUACCGGCAAGGAGCUACUGCUGCAGGGUGGGGGUUGGAAAGUUUCGGCGGUUGGGGAUGGACUCGCGGCUUAUCAGCUUGUUGGUGGGGUAGUGGCUUACCAAGGCUUUGACGGGUAGCCGGCCUGGGAGGGUGACCGGCCACAUUGGGACUGAGAUACGGCCCAGACUCCUACGGGAGGCAGCAGUGGAGAAUAUUGCACAAUGGGCGGAAGCCUGAUGCAGCAACGCCGCGUGCGGGAUGACGGCCUUCGGGUUGUAAACCGCUUUCGCCUGUGACGAAGCGUGAGUGACGGUAAUGGGUAAAGAAGCACCGGCUAACUACGUG